ensembl:lncRNA
AGUAUGUAGGCCUGGUCCUCUUGUUGUUAUCUUGAGGCCUGGCCUCCAGCUGGCGUGUUUCUGGCCACAUUUGUAGUGUCUUUUUACGUUUUGUCCUGAGCUUUGGAGGGCUCAGCCCUGUCUGGCUCCCUACAGUACUUCACCUAACUUAGCUGUCUAUAACACUACCACACGGCUGCAUGAAGCCGGGGAAUGGGAUACAGGCCCUUGCCGAGAGGCGUGCUCUCUGCUUUCUACUCCACGAGGUUGCAGCGCUUCUUCUCUCCUGGAGGACGGAGCUACAAGGUGUCAACUUGGAAGCACAAAACCAGCCUUGGCAGACACUGAACCAGCUGGCACCUUGAUCCUGGAUUCCCCAGCUCCAGAACUGUGAGAAAACAAGUCUAUGUUUUGUGUAAAUCACCUAGCAUCGUGUGUUCUGUUGGAACAGUACAAACCAGCCCAGCUACAGAAUAACUCCAGUUUGGCCUCCGGUCACAACUGAGACUUCAGUGAUCCAGUGAUGCUGUGAUUCUCCAGGACAAGAAACAUCCUGGGAGAACAAACAUCUGCUCAGUUCCUCGUUGUUCUUGGACUGUUAACAUCUUGUUUACAGGAGAUGUACAGAACUCUCUGCAAGCCUUUUGUUACACCUUGUUUGUUCCAAUGUGAACUACUGAACUCUCUGCAAGUCAUCUGUUACAUUUGUUUCUCCCUAUGUACUGAAUUCUCUGCAAGUCAUUUUGUUAGGAGGUACUGAAUAAAAGGUGUGGUAAGCUGGGGGCUUUGGUCUUUGCCGCCCAGAGCAGCACUGAUCAGACCCAAAGCUCAGUUUCUUCUCAGUCUCAUUUUUCUACCUUUCCUGUAAUUCACCAUGUGCUGCCAUGGCUCACAGGAGACCAGGACUCACUGCAGAGGUUCUGGUAACGUCCCCUUCCCCUGUCCCCUACAGAGACUUAAAAUAUAGAGUCUGCCCAAAAAAUGGACCCACACAUCAGCAG